rnacentral:rRNA from 1 species
AUCAAACCUUGUUAAACUGAUCUCGUCCGAUCUCAGAAGCUAAACAGGGUUGGGCCUGGUUAGUACUUGGAUGGGAGACCAUGAGGAAAACCCAGUG